UACAGAGGGUGCAAGCGUUAAUCGGAGUUACUGGGCGUAAAGGGCGCGUAGGCGGUUAUUUAAGUUUGAUGUGAAAUCCCUGGGCUUAACCUAGGAACUGCAUUGAAUACUGGAUGACUAGAGUACUGUAGAGGGUAGUGGAAUUUCCGGUGUAGCGGUGAAAUGCGUAGAGAUCGGAAGGAACACCAGUGGCGAAGGCGGCUACCUGGACAGAUACUGACGCUGAGGCGCGAGAGCGUGGGGAGCAAACAGG
rnacentral:rRNA from 1 species